CUACUCGGCUUACUCGCUACUCGGUUCGUAUUCGCCUUGAAAAUUCAAGUACUCGUCAUAGGCAAGUCAAGUAACAAGUCGGUUUAUUUUAUUACUUGCAAGUGCAAGCCAAGUAUCAAGUAUCAUAAUUUUUUUUGAUACUUGCCUCGUUACUUGCCUCAUUUUGAUACUUGCCCCGUUACUUGCCUCGUUACUUGCCUCAAUUUGAUGCU